GCAAACCAGCAUCCCCGCCGGCUCCUGUGACAUCUGCCCACCCAGGGUAUUUGCUAACAAGAAGGAUGGAGUGGGAGGUGUAAAGGAAAGAAGUGCAGUCCUCCAAAGUGAAAUUAUUCCCUUGUCUCCAUUCUGUGAAAGCUCCGAGUCCAAGUGAGCUUGCUAAAAUGUCAGCCACGUGCCUCAGUGAUUAGGGCUGCGGUUUGGGCAGCCUGUCAAAGAUUUUCCCAGGCGACGCUCAAGCCCCUUCUCAGCCCAGCGCAGGAGGGAGAUUCACAUGUUUGGCCAAGAUAGCCUGUCCCACUGACAGGACCGUAAAGCCAAUCCAACUGGGAGGAGAGCCAGGGAGGCUGCGUUCGUGGACUUGAAGAGUCUAACAGGCCUGCUCCUGGAAUUUCAUCCCUCACUCUCCCCACUUCUCCCUCCAGCCCAGCGUGAACUUCACUCGUGCCAAAAAAUCAACUGCAUAAGAACAGGAUUAAGCAGGAGGCUGGAGACGGAAUUAAAUAAAGUGCAUGAAUGAAACCUCAAGAUUUUCUUAACUGUGAACUCACCAAGAGCCAACACAGCGGAGCUUAUGAAAUUUCACUAGGUGAGACUGUAUGAGUGCUUCCGCACCAAGCCAAAUUCAACCUCCCCAUAGCUUCCCCCCAACAUUUCUAAACCUGCCCUCUGGAAUCAUACCGAUCAAACCUAAUGUCUGAAUGAAUAUGUUUAUGCCCAGUGAAGCAUAGAAGAUGACUGCUGGGCAUCCAAGUCUUCCCUUUCCCCAAAUGAAUUUUCGUGGGUCUCCUGUCCCUUGCCG
rnacentral:lncRNA from 10 species